GCGACCCCAGGAUGGGCGAGGCCACCCGCUGAGUUUAA
rnacentral:rRNA from 9 species